CUUUUACGUUGCAUUACUGAAAUAAAUUAACUUUUGCACAAUAUUCUAAUUUUUCGAGUAUCAUGUGUAUAAGUGGGUCAAAACAACGAGACAAUUUCCCUGGGAACCCAGUGUUCGAGUGGCUGAAAUUAGUUCCACAGAGUUGAUGACCAAGUACCGUUGUCAGCAUUCGGGAGACAAAAUGGCCCACUGCACUAGAUGUCAUUCGGGACAGGGAAAAUUUAGUCAGGGGAGUGUUCGACAAACGAAAAGUGUGUAAUCUUUGCCUUUGCCAUACCUCCAGUGGGAAAUGGACUGUGGAUGGCCAGGGACCCUCUUUCAAUGUUACAUUUAUCAAAAUAAUGGUUUUAAAGUGAAUGGAGGGAUAUUACCAGGGGCCUUCAGGAAUUAUAACAAAUGUUAACCAGCUUGUCAAAAGCCAGCUUGUAAAGGAUCAAAUUCAUCUGCUAGACCUUACUGAUAUAAUGCCAGUAUAUUUGCUAAAAAUGCACACACCCUGCAGUUAUACAUUACUGGAAGUUUUAAUGUGUUUUUUUUUUUUAUCAUUCCCACAUAUCAGAAAGGGGGAAGGGAUAAACUGAGUCUACCAUUUCACUGUAGGCAUUACCUUAGCAGUCCAUAGCAGGAUAGAGAUUGCUAUAGCAGUUUUAAAUACCUUUAUUUUAGAAAUAUGAUUGAAAUGUAUUUACUGUAUAUAAGAAUUAUGCACAAAUGCAGACCUUUUUACAUUCUGUUGCCAUUUUGAGUAAGCUGUACUGCUAGUAAUGCCUUCAGUGUCUUUGCAAAUACUUAUAAGCAAGGUAUUUGACCACUUUUAUUUCUUUUUUUGUCACAUCUACUAUAUAUGAGACAAAAAUUUUUUCCUUUUCAUACUAACAUUUUAAACUCUGUGAAAUAUUGCAAGACGAAGUACACUGUAUACUGUCUAACGCUCUUCGUUUCCCAAAUAUUUUUAUUUAAAAAAUGGAUAAGUGAAAAAUAAAAAUUGUGUACAUUUACAUACUUUACAUUUUAAAGCUUGCAUAGCAACACAAUAGCUGUGUUUUUAUGUAUAUGACCAGCUGUGCAGCCAUUGCUUCAAAUAAAUGUUAUAUUAUAUUUAGUUUUCAAUCAAAAAGUGCUCGGUAGUGAAGGGGAUAAAGGACUGCCCAAGCACAAAAACACUCAAUGGUAACGAAUCGUUUUUGGUGAAAAAGACCCAGACAUUUCUUUUUGUGCCACUCGAGGCAUAUCCUCGCUGAAUAAUUUCAGUUAUUUACGGUCUUCAUGUUCUGUGUACUAAGCACCUAUGAGGAUGAGCCUAAUAGAGGAGGAAUGGCUGCCAGGAGGAUGCAGCCUAAUGCUUUAUUAAAGACCAUUAUUGGAACCAGAUUCGUUGUGAAAAAAAUGUUUUCAAAACAAGGAAUCUCAGAAACUUGAAAGGAUCUAUUGGUAUCUGAUGAGUCCUACAAAUGUUAACCAACCAUCCUUAUAACUUUCUUGAAAUAUUGUUGUAAAAGACUCCAUCUUGAAUUACAUUCUUUCCUAGGAAUAGGUUUAUUCUUUUCAGGUUUAUAAUUAAUCUCCAAUGGCUUUGGGGCCUAAGACACAAGGAG
rnacentral:lncRNA from 1 species